GUUUGUUUAAGGAACCAAAAGGUUUGUUUAAGGAACCCAGAGGUUUGUUUAAGGAACCCAGAGGUUUGCUUAAGGAACCCAAAGGUUUGUUUAAGGAACCCAGAGGUUUGUUUAAGGAACCCAGAGGUUUGCUUAAGGAACCCAGAGGUUUGCUUAAGGAACCCAAAGUUUUUUUUGCUGUUUUUUUUUUUUAACAGAUCUUUUCUUGAUCUCACUGUAAACUUAAAUAAUAAUUGUGGUUCCUUUCAGUCUUGUGGUUCUGUUGGUUUGUUGGAUCAUUUUGUAGAAUUCAUAAAAACAAAGAAUCUCACUAAU